UUCUCCCUCUCUCUCCAGCAAUUCUCCACACCCCAGGAGCAAGAAACCCUAGGGUUUCUUGCCGCCAGUCCAUAAAAGAAAAGAGAAGAAGGGGAGGCGCUAGCACCCUUCCCCCUUGCAGCCGCCUACCAGAUCUGCUCUCCCCUUCUUGCAGGCACCCAAACACUAGGUCCAAGACUUGGAAUCUCUUGAGAAGAGAUUGGUACAAGUCCCUCUCAGAUCUAGAGUUGAUCUGAGGUCAUUUGAGGCAUGGGUGAGAUCUCCAUCAACAGAUCUACAAGAAAGGCUGCAGCAGGACAGAUCUGCGAGGUC
rnacentral:lncRNA from 1 species